GACGAACGCUGGCGGCGUGCUUAACACAUGCAAGUCGAACGGCAAGGCCCCUUUGGCGGUACUCGAGUGGCGAACGGGUGAGUAACACGUGGGUAACCUGCCCUUUCCUUCGGGAUGACUUCAGGAAACUGGGGCUAAUUCCGGAUAGGCAUCCUUCCAUCAUGGUGGGGGUUGGAAAGCUUCGGCGGUUUUGGAUGGGCUCGCGGCCUAUAGGCUUGUUGGUGGGGUGGUGGCUUACCAAGGCUUGGACGGGUCGCCGGCCUGAGGGGGCGACCGGCGACAUUGGGUCUGAGGGGAGGCCGAGGCGCCUACGGGAGGCAGAAGUGGGGAAGACUGCACAAGGCGCGGAGGCCGGAUGAAGCAGCGCCGCGGGCGGGAUGACGGCCUUGGGGUUGUAGACCGGUUUCAGCAGGAGCGAAGCUUGUGGUGACGGUACCUGAAGAAGAAGCACCGGCUAACUACGUG
rnacentral:rRNA from 1 species